AACUGCUUCUAAGCAAGUUUUGUUGGUUUUAGCCUCUUUUAGGAGAAAAUGGGUAUAAGUGGUGUCUAAACACUCCUAAUCCAUCUGUAACUCUUAUAAUUAGUCGAAUGCAUUUGACUGUGAUACCUUUUGAACAUAAAUACACUAACAAGGCUAUUUACUGCGUCUAAGCAAAUGUUUGUUGGUUUAGCCUCUUUUGGGAUAAAAUAGGUACAAGUGUUGUCUAAACACUUCUAAUCCAACUCUAACUCUUAUAAUUAGUCGAAUGCAUUGGAUUGUGAUACAUUUUGACCAUAUAAACACUAACAAAGCUAUUUAGUGCUUCUAAGCAAUAUUUUGUUGGUUAUAGCUUCUUUUGAGAGUAAAUGGGUAUAAGUGUUCUUUAAACACUCCUAAUCCAUCUCUUACUCUUAUAAUUAGUCAAAUGCAUUGGAUUAUGACACAUUUUCUCCAUAGAAACACUAACAAAUCUAUUGACCGCUUCUAAGCAAGUUUUCUUGGUUUUAGCCUCUUUUGGGAGGAAAUGGUUAUAAGUGUUGUCUAAACACUUCUUGUUCAUCCCUAACUCUUAUAAUUAUUCAAUUGCAUUGGAUUGUGACACAUUUUGACUAUAGAAACACUAACAAAUCUAUUGACUGCUUUUGAGCAAGUUUUGUUGGUUUUAGCCUCUUUUGGGAGAAAAUGGGUAUAAGUGUUGUCUAAACACUCCUAAUCCAUCUCUAACUCUAUAAUUAGUCCAAUGCAUUGGAUUGUGAAAUAGUUUGACCAUAGAAACACUAACAAAUCUAUUGACUGCUUUUAAGCAAAAAUUUUUGGUUUUAGCCUCUUUUGGCCGAAAAUGGGUAUAAGUGUUAUCUAAACACUCCUAAUCCAUCUCUAACUUUUACAAUUAGUCGAAUGCAUUGGAUUGUGAUACAUUUUGACCAUAUAAAUACUAACAAAACUAUUUAGUGCUUCUAAGCAAUAUUUUGUUGGUUAUAGCUUCUUUUGGGAGAAGAUGGGUAUAAUUGUUGUCUAAACACUACUAAUCCAUCUCUAACUCUAUAAUUAGUCCAAUGCAUUGGAUUGUGAAACAUUUUGACUAUAGAAACACUAACAGAUCUAUUGACUGCUUUUAAGCAAGUUUUUUUGGUUUUAGCCUCUUUUGGGAUAAAAUGGGUAUAAGUAUUGUCUAAACACUUCUAAUCCAUCUCUAACUCUUAUAAUUAGUCGAAUGCAUUGGAUUGUGAUACAUUUUGACCAUAUAAACACUAACAAAGCUAUUUAGUGCUUCUAAGCAAUAUUUUGUUGGUUAUAGCUUCUUUUGAGAGUAAAUGGGUAUAAGUGUUCUUUAAACACUCCUAAUCCAUCUCUUACUCUUAUAAUUAGUCAAAUGCAUUGGAUUAUGACACAUUUUCACCAUAGAAACAGUAACAAAUCUAUUGACCGCUUCUAAGCAAGUUUUCUUGGUUUUAGCCUCUUUUGGGAGAAAAUGGUUAUAAGUGUUGUCUAAACACUUCUUGUUCAUCCCUAACUCUUAUAAUUAUUCAAUUGCAUUGGAUUGUGACACAUUUUGACUAUAGAAACACUAACAAAUCUAUUGACUGCUUUUGAGAAAGUUUUGUUGGUUUUAGCCUCUUUUGGGAGAAAAUGGGUAUAAGUGUUGUCUAAACACUUCUUAUCCAUCUCUAACUCUUAUAAUUAGUCAAUGGUAUUGGAUUGUGACACAUUAUGACCAUAUAAACACUAACAAAUCUAUUAACUGCUUCUAAGCAAGUUUUGUUGGUUUUAGCCUCUUUUAGGAGAAAAUGGGUAUAAGUGGUGUCUAAACACUCCUAAUCCAUCUCUAACUCUUAUAAUUAUUCGAAUGCAUUUGACUGUGAUACCUUUUGAACAUAAAUACACAAACAAGGCUAUUUACUGCGACUAAGCAAAUGUUUGUUGGUUUAGCCUCUUUUGGGAUAAAAUAGGUACAAGUGUUGUCUAAACACUUCUAAUCCAUCUCUAACUCUUAUAAUUAGUCGAAUGCAUUGGAUUGUGAUACAUUUUGACCAUAUAAACACUAACAAAGCUAUUUAGUGCUUCUAAGCAAUAUUUUGUUGGUUAUAGCUUCUUUUGAGAGUAAAUGGGUAUAAGUGUUCUUUAAACACUCCUAAUCCAUCUCUUACUCUUAUAAUUAGUCAAAUGCAUUGGAUUAUGACACAUUUUCUCCAUAGAAACACUAACAAAUCUAUUGACCGCUUCUAAGCAAGUUUUCUUGGUUUUAGCCUCUUUUGGGAGAAAAUGGUUAUAAGUGUUGUCUAAACACUUCUUGUUCAUCCCUAACUCUUAUAAUUAUUCAAUUGCAUUGGAUUGUGACACAUUUUGACUAUAGAAACACUAACAAAUCUAUUGACUGCUUUUGAGAAAGUUUUGUUGGUUUUAGCCUCUUUUGGGAGAAAAUGGGUAUAAGUGUUGUCUAAACACUUCUUAUCCAUCUCUAACUCUUAUAAUUAGUCAAU
rnacentral:sRNA from 1 species